CUAUGGAAGCUUGCUUCCACUGAGAAGAUAGUGGCGAACGGGGUGAGGUAACAACGUGGGGUAACCUGCCCAUAAGAGGGGGGAUAACAUCCGGAAACGGGUGCUAAUACCGCAUAGUUUUCUUGAUCGCAUGAUUGAGAAAGGAAAGACGGCCUUUGUGCUGUCGCUUAUGGAUGGACCCGCGGCGUAUUAGUUAGUUGGUGAGGUAACGGCUCACCAAGACGAUGAUACGUAGCCGACCUGAGAGGGUGAUCGGCCACAUUGGGACUGAGACACGGCCCAAACUCCUACGGGAGGCAGCAGUAGGGAAUCUUCCGCAAUGGACGAAAGUCUGACGGAGCAACGCCGCGUGAGUGAAGAAAAGGGUUUUCGGAUCGUAAAACUCUGUUGUCAGAGAAGAACAAGUUGGAGAGUAACUGCUCCAGCCUUGACGGUAUCUGACCAGAAAGCCACGGCUAACUACGUGCCAGCAGCCGC
rnacentral:rRNA from 1 species